GGUCACACAGAAAUCUGCUGAACUGCACGGACCCCACAAGUUCCUCUGGUGAUUUUUCUCCAAUCCAAGAAGCUCACACUUUCUUCUGCCCUGGUUCCUGACUUCAAACCUGAGGCAAACUAGAGUCCGCUGUGCAAGACUGCUGCAGAGAUCUUUCCUGCUUAAACCUGACUGCCAGGCACCAGCCACAACAUGGGGCUCUUCCAUUUAUUUACUACACUGAAUUGUUGGGUUUUAUUUCACAGUUACUUUGGUUUCACCUUUAUUUUUCUGCAUGAGGUACAACUUAAUCCCUGCUCCAGAGAAAGAAUUAUUUGCUUCCUCCAGUUUUUCAAGAGUGUCAUCCUAUCAGAUCCCCAAGCAUGUCAGAAACGUUCAGAUGUCAAAUGGGGAAAAAUACAUGCAAACCCUGCCAGAGUUUAGACAUUCAGCUGACUGCUGCCACUUGCAGAAAAGCGCAUCUGAGAGCCAGACCUGGUUUGCCUCUUUUACCAUCUGCAGCACCAGGGAAGAUGGGAUAUUUUGCCCAUGGGACACACUUCCAGACAGCAGAGUAAGAGUCAAAGGGGAAAACCUCAGGUUGUCAUCAUAGACUUAGAAAUAAAGGCUGCUUUGCUGGACAGUAUUUGGGUCCUCUACCAUGACCCAACACCUGACAUCUUUUGAAUUUCAAAUCUAAAAUACAGAGACACUAAAUCUUCUCAAAUAAAAUGCCUUUACCAGCAUAGUCACAGCACCACUCUCCACAAUGGCUUCAGAGGAACCAAGGAGAUGCUGGCUGGAAGGCAGUCCAGUCCCCAUUCACAGCAGGGCUAUCAUUAAA